rnacentral:rRNA from 1 species
AGUGAACGCUGGCGGUAGGCCUAACACAUGCAAGUCGAACGGCAGCACGGGAGAGCUUGCUCUCUGGGUGGCGAGUGGCGGACGGGUGAGGAAUACAUCGGAAUCUACUCUGUCGUGGGGGAUAACGUAGGGAAACUUACGCUAAUACCGCAUACGACCUACGGGUGGAAGCAGGGGAUCUUCGGGCCUUGCGCGAUUGAAUGAGCCGAUGUCGGAUUAGCUAGUUGGCGGGGUAAAGGCCCACCAAGGCGACGAUCCGUAGCUGGUCUGAGAGGAUGAUCAGCCACACUGGAACUGAGACACGGUCCAGACUCCUACGGGAGGCAGCAGUGGGGAAUAUUGGACAAUGGGCGCAAGCCUGAUCCAGCCAUACCGCGUGGGUGAAGAAGGCCUUCGGGUUGUAAAGCCCUUUUGUUGGGAAAGAAAUCCAGCUGGCUAAUACCCGGUUGGGAUGACGGUACCCAAAGAAUAAGCACCGGCUAACUUCGUGCCAGCCGCCGCCGUAA